rnacentral:rRNA from 1 species
UACGAGGGGGGCGAGCGUUGUUCGGAAUUAUUGGGCGUAAAGGGCGCGUAGGCGGUGCGACGUGUCUCCUGUGAAAUCUCCAGGCUCAACUUGGAGUCUGCAGGAGAAACUGUCGUGCUGGAGUACUGGAGAGGUGAGUGGAAUUCCCGGUGUAGCGGUGAAAUGCGUAGAGAUCCGGAAGAACACCGGUGGCGAAGGCGGUCUGCUGGGCAGUAGCUGACACUGAGGCGCGACAGCGUGGGGAGCAAACAGG